AGACUUCCUAGUGACUGUUCACCAGCAAGACCAGCAUAUUGUGUUUUGGUGCUGGUCUAUGCUGGUUUUUCUAGCAGAGAUAGCCUAGCUAGCCAUGUUACCCGCUUACCUAAAGCCUUGUUUUUCUAGCAUUCCUGAACCGCCAACAUGUCUGCGUACGCUGACCUGGAGCUUGCACAGCGGUGGACAUUUGUCGGGUCCUCAUCCAUUUCCGAGGCUCUCCAUUAUGGCUCCGGAUGACAGAUGUAGAUACGGCGGUGCUCUCCCUCAGGCUGUAAAGCACCAGGCCUAACCUUCCCUCCACCAGAAGUAAUGGUCCACACCUUUAAUUGUCGUGGGCUGUUCAUCUUCACUAACAAUAGCAGUAAGCAAUGGGUCUGGGAGAGAAAGGCAGUCGUGUCUGACAAAGGAAGUGAUUUAGCUCUGGAGGCAAUUGGUAAGCGGGGCGUUGCAGGGGCAGCAGUAAUGUGCAGAGAGAGAGAUCAUAUGGGGUAAGAGGCGUAACAGACACAAUAGUGGGACACACAGGCGACGCUGUGUGUUUUUUUCCCCCUCGCUGCAAAGAUUUAUCUCGAAAAAAGAGGCAGUAAAAUGUAUAUUGUGCGCGUCCUUCAUGGAGUGAGAGCUUGUGUUAUUGAAGUGGACGUGAUGUUCUCUGAAUUAUGGAUGUCGGCGAAUGCUUAAGGAAGUAAGUUGGACAAGAGCAGCAACUUUUCCCAUCGCGGCUGUAUCAGUCAGAAAACAAACAGCAGAUCGCAUUUAAAGAAAUGGGCUGUUUGUGGAAGGUGAUUUGUUUUUUGUUUUUUUUUAGGUUUUUGAUGCUUCCUCAUUAUUUCAUUUGAUGUCAAAACAUCAUUUGAUGCUCAACUUUCAAAAGUCUGCUCUCGCUUCUGUAUUUCUUUAUUCCGCUACAGCCUUCUAAAGAGGCAAAACUGCUGCGGAGAAGAAAAAGAAAAAGAAAAAAAAACUCCUGCUAUUGAUGGGUCACUAGUUUACUGUCUGAAUUAGACACAUAACAUAAGGAACAGACAAGUGUAGUUACCAAAUUAAAGUGUGUUUCCUGGGAAAGUUGAGGCCCAUUAAAAUGAUAGAUUGCAUGGUGUGUGCAAAGGGAUGCUUUACACCCACCAAACAGUCUAAUUGCAUUCAGUCCUGUAAGAAGUCCACAAAUGUUGAAUCUAGAAUCUCGGGCGUAUUGGCAGCAAGCUGCUAGACAGCAGAUGACUAGCUUCAAACGAGUAGCGAGGGGGGAGGGAUGUUAAAUCUUGACAAACAGUGAGAGCCAGUGUCCACAUCAUCUCUCGCCCCUGACAGGCUUCCCCAUGCAUGAAUUCAAAGCUGGUGAAAGAAAAAAAAAGAAAAAACAUGGCUGGAUUCAUUUUGAUCUGACAUCCAUCAUGUAGAUCAGUGUUGUGGUUUCACUGUACUGUGUCCACGAUAAGAUGUUUUGGCAAUCGGCCCAUGACAUCUGUUAAAGCCAGUCGAGUGAAACUGGGACCAAUUUGGCAUUUCUGUCACAAGUUGUUAUUGUUGGCUUCCCGCUUUGAACGCUAUCCAUUCACCGUCCCAUCAACGUAACAGAUCUGUAUGUUUAAAAAGAAGGCAUACUGUAUAUGAAGCUUAUCGCGUUCGUGAUCUUUUUUUUUUUUUUAAGGUUGAAAUUUGCCUUCCUGUUGCAUCAGAUUCUCUGAUCCUGUAACGUGUUUGGAUUUUCAUUUUCUAUUUUUUUUUUCCUCCCCCUCUGCUGUUUCUACACCCAGGAGACGGUUUGCAAAUUGGAAAGAAUUGGGAGGGACUGCAGUUUGCGUUCUCUUUUCAUUUGUCAGUAGAACCAGGGAAAAAAAAAAAAAAAAAGCCUCACAGCCAGUUGCCGGGGGGUAAAUGGGUUUUGUGUACUAGUUUAAAACCAUUAAGAAACAAACUACACGAUUGGCUGCAAUAUUAAUGAUGAUGUUGAGAUGCGGACCAGACGCAUGUCUAAGAGUCGGGAAGGACCCUUUGAUGGUUAAAAAACAAAACAGUCUCUUGUGCGCUCGUCCAAUCAAACGCCGGUCUGCAUUCUCUCGGCACUGACGGUGAUGUUUAACCGCGCAGGGAUUGAGUUCGUAAGCGGUGUCCGAAACCCGCGUUUGGAGCACCAGCUUAU